rnacentral:rRNA from 1 species
UACAGAGGUCUCAAGCGUUGUUCGGAUUCAUUGGGCGUAAAGGGUGCGUAGGCGGUGCUGUAAGUCGGGUGUGAAAUUUCGGAGCUUAACUCCGAAACUGCAUUCGAUACUGCGGUGCUUGAGGACUGGAGAGGAGACUGGAAUUCAUGGUGUAGCAGUGAAAUGCGUAGAGAUCAUGAGGAAGACCAGUGGCGAAGGCGGGUCUCUGGACAGUUCCUGACACUGAGGCACGAAGGCCAGGGGAGCAAACGGG